rnacentral:tRNA from 2 species
GUCCCCGUAGCUCAGUGGAUAGAGCAGCGGUCUUCUAAACCGCCGGUCGCAGGUUCGAAUCCUGCCGGGGACACCA